GGCUGCGUCGCUUGCGAGAUUGCGAAAUGGUUUGGUUUGGUUUGGUGCUUUACGACGGUCGUUGGGUCUGCUUUGGUUUGGUUAACCUAUUACUAUUAGUGCUAGCUUUGUUGUUGUUGUUUUUUUUUUUUUUUUUGCUUGUUAGUGCUAGCUUUGUUGCUAGAAUGCCUCUCGUCUGGCGAUCAGGGCGGUGGAUUUCAGAGAAGUGAAAUUUUAUGCGAACAUGACGGUGGCAUGCACGGGAAGUGAAAUUGAAAUUCACCGCCCUUGAGAAAAAUUUAGUUUUCACGGUUCAAGCUUUUGGUUUCGGAGAUUGGCAGAAAAUAACAGCGGGCGGUCCUCGCCUGUUUAGGGAUUUCUUAGUGGAUAGGAUGGCGGUUGGGAUCUAGAUUACACAAGUGUCCUCCUAGGUAUCGAUCAAAGGGGUUUGCGGGAACUAGAUGUUUAGGAAAUAGGAAAUUUUGUGCUUGUCAAGCUCGAUGUGAUGAAAUUAUUGGUAGGCUUCAUCACGGUAUUCAGGGAAUGAAAACGAGAGUAAUAUAGAGUUUGGUAUGACAAAAUCUCAAAAUUUUGCGUCACGUUUGGUCCCAUUAGACACAUGAGGUGGCUUGGGAAGCAUAAAGAAGAGGACCUAUAGUUGGGUGCUAUCACACCCUGAGUUUUGUAGCCUGAACAUUAGUGAAAAUUAAGGUAAUCAAAACUUAAAAUAAUAAACUCUUCAAUCCUAUUCGGUAGUUGUAUUCCUUUUUUUGAUGCUUUGUGAUGGGACACUUUUUACCCAAGUGGGAAUGGCGAUAGUAUGUGUACUAUGAGUGUCAGGUAUCAUGGGCAGAUCUUAUGUUGGGGUGAAACUUGAUAAGAGACUUGGUUGCGUGUUUGCAUCGUAUACUUAACGCAUGGUGAGUCAUGGCUGACAUGGUAAACAAUCAAGUCUUGUGGGUCCAGCGUGUCAAUCUGUUCGAGCAAUCAUGUCCACAAUUAUGGACGAGAUGGAAUAGCGGUCGCUUAACUUGAUGUUAACAGUGUUUUGCCAAGUACAAAAUAACAAUACGAUGAACCUACAUAGAAUUGUAUGGUAAUGGGACAUUACCUCGGGUUACCAGAUGGACACGAGGCACAAGUUUUACCCAGGCUAGGCCCUCGUCGGGUGAGUAAAAACCCUACUCCUACUUAUAUGAGAUUCUACCAUAGAUUGAUUACAAUGGGGGAGUGUAAUGGACUAUUCGGGGAGUUGAGGAUCAAGUCGCUCGCGUUGGAGGUGGACGAUCUCGACGGAGAACCCUAAUCGGAUCUACUAAUGAACUAAUAAACUAUUCUGAUUUUUGGAGGAGUCUAAGGUCUCCUCUUGUCUUGAGGGAGUGCCUUAUAUAGGGGUCUUGGUUUGUGGUUGUUGUCCGUCACCUUGAUCUUCUUGUUGUGCAAGUCUUGAUCUUCUCCAUCUUUGGUAGUCGCACAACUCCCCUUAAGGAAACCAGGUUUGCACGUCUAAGGUAACUGGCUGAAGGAAAUAUGCCCUAGAGGCAAUAAUAAAGUUAUUAUUUAUUUCCUUAUAUCAUGAUAAAUGUUUAUUAUUCAUGCUAGAAUUGUAUUAACCUGAAACAUAAUACAUGUGUGAAUACAUAGACAAACAGAGUGUCACUAGUAUGCCUCUACUUGACUAGCUCGUUAAUCAAAGAUGGUUAUGUUUCCUAACCAUGAACAAAGAGUUGUUAUUUGAUUAACGGGAUCACAUCAUUAGGUGAAUGAUCUGAUUGACAUGACCCAUUCCAUUAGCUUAGCACCCGAUCGUUUAGUAUGUUGCUAUUGAAGGAAAUAUGCCCUAGAGGCAAUAAUAAAGUUAUUAUUUAUUUCCUUAUNNNNNNNNNNNNNNNNNNNNNNNNNNNNNNNNNNNNNNNNNNNNNNNNNNNNNNNNNNNNNNNNNNNNNNNNNNNNNNNNNNNNNNNNNNNNNNNNNNNNNNNNNNNNNNNNNNNNNNNNNNNNNNNNNNNNNNNNNNNNNNNNNNNNNNNNNNNNNNNNNNNNNNNNNNNNNNNNNNNNNNNNNNNNNNNNNNNNNNNNNNNNNNNNNNNNNNNNNNNNNNNNNNNNNNNNNNNNNNNNNNNNNNNNNNNNNNNNNNNNNNNNNNNNNNNNNNNNNNNNNNNNNNNNNNNNNNNNNNNNNNNNNNNNNNNNNNNNNNNNNNNNNNNNNNNNNNNNNNNNNNNNNNNNNNNNNNNNNNNNNNNNNNNNNNNNNNNNNNNNNNNNNNNNNNNNNNNNNNNNNNNNNNNNNNNNNNNNNNNNNNNNNNNNNNNNNNNNNNNNNNNNNNNNNNNNNNNNNNNNNNNNNNNNNNNNNNNNNNNNNNNNNNNNNNNNNNNNNNNNNNNNNNNNNNNNNNNNNNNNNNNNNNNNNNNNNNNNNNNNNNNNNNNNNNNNNNNNNNNNNNNNNNNNNNNNNNNNNNNNNNNNNNNNNNNNNNNNNNNNNNNNNNNNNNNNNNNNNNNNNNNNNNNNNNNNNNNNNNNNNNNNNNNNNNNNGAGACGUGUCUCGGUCAUGUCUACAUUGUUCUCGAACCCGUAGGGUCCGCACGCUUAAGGUUACGAUGACAGUUAUAUUAUGAGUUUAUGCAUUUUGAUGUACCGAAGGUUGUUCGGAGUCCCGGAUGUGAUCACGGACAUGACGAGGAGUCUCGAAAUGGUCGAGACAUAAAGAUUGAUAUAUUGGAAGCCUAUGUUUGGACAUCGGAAGUGUUCCGGGUGAAAUCAGGAUUUUACCGGGUUACCGGGAGGUUACCGGAACCCCCCGGGAACCAUAUGGGCCUUCAUGGGCCUUAGUGGAAAGGAGAAAGGGGCAGCCCAAGGGGGCUGCGCGCCUCCCCCCUUCCCCUAGUCCUAUUAGGACUAGGAGAGGUGGCCGGCCACCCCUCUCCCUCUUUCCCCCUUGGGAAUCCUAGUUGGAAUAGGAUUGGAGGGGAGUCCUACUCCCGGUAGGAGUAGGACUCCUCCUGCGCCUCCUCCUCCUGGCCGGCGCCUCCUCCCCCCUUGGCUCCUUUAUAUACGGAGGCAGGGGCACCUCUAAACACACAAGUUGACACAAGUUGAUCCACGUGAUCGAUUCCUUAGCCGUGUGCGGUGCCCCCUGCCACCAUAUUCCUCGAUAAUACUGUAGCGGAGUUUAGGCGAAGCCCUGCUGCUGUAGUUCAUCAAGAUCGUCACCACGCCGUCAUGCUGACGGAACUCUUCCCCGACACUUUGCUGGAUCGGAGUCCGGGGAUCGUCAUCGAGCUGAACGUGUGCUCGAACUCGGAGGUGCCGUAGUUUCGGUGCUUGAUCGGCUGGAUCGUGAAGACGUACGACUACUUCCUCUACGUCGUGUCAUCGCUUCCGCAGUCGGUCUGCGUAGGGUACGUAGACAAUACUCUUCCCCUCGUUGCUAUGCAUCACAUGAUCCUGUGUGCGCGUAGGAAAAUUUUUGAAAUUACUACGAAACCCUACAGCUAUUGCUUUCUUCAUGACUUAUACAUGUUCCUAUGACUAUGAUAUUAUGCAACUCCCGUUUGCCGGAGGAACACUUUGUGUGCUACCAAACGUCACAACGUAAAUGGGUGAUUAUAAAGGUACUCUACAGGUGUCUCCAAAGGUACAUGUUGGGUUGGUGUAUUUCAAGAUUAGGAUUUGUCACUCCGAUUGUCGGGGAGGUAUCUCUGGGCCCUCUCGGUAAUGCACAUCACAUAAGCCUUGCAAGCAUUGCAACUAAUGAGUUAGUUGCGAGAUGAUGUAUUACGGAACGAGUAAAGAGACUUGCCGGUAACGAGAUUGAACUAGGUAUUGAGAUACCAACGAUCGAAUCUCGGGCAAGUAACAUACCGAUGACAAAGGGAACAACGUAUGUUGUUAUGCGGUCUGACCGAUAAAGAUCUUCGUAGAAUAUGUAGGAGCCAAUAUGAGCAUCCAGGUUCCGCUAUUGGUUAUUGACCGGAGACGUGUCUCGGUCAUGUCUACAUUGUUCUCGAACCCGUAGGGUCCGCACGCUUAAGGUUUCGAUGACAGUUAUAUUAUGAGUUUAUGAGUUUUGAUGUACCGAAGUUAGUUCGGAGUCCCGGAUGUGAUCACGGACAUGACGAGGAGUCUCAAAAUGGUCGAGACAUAAAGAUUGAUAUAUUGGACGGCUAUAUUCGGACACCGGAAGUGUUCCGGNNNNNNNNNNNNNNNNNNNNNNNNNNNNNNNNNNNNNNNNNNNNNNNNNNNNNNNNNNNNNNNNNNNNNNNNNNNNNNNNNNNNNNNNNNNNNNNNNNNNNNNNNNNNNNNNNNNNNNNNNNNNNNNNNNNNNNNNNNNNNNNNNNNNNNNNNNNNNNNNNNNNNNNNNNNNNNNNNNNNNNNNNNNNNNNNNNNNNNNNNNNNNNNNNNNNNNNNNNNNNNNNNNNNNNNNNNNNNNNNNNNNNNNNNNNNNNNNNNNNNNNNNNNNNNNNNNNNNNNNNNNNNNNNNNNNNNNNNNNNAUGGGCCUUAGUGAAGAGAGAGAGGGGCAGUCAAAGGUGGGCCGCGCACCUCCUCCCCCCUGGUCCGAAUUGGACUAGGAGAGGGGGGCGACGCCCCCCUUUCCUUCUUCCUCCCCACUUCUUUCCCCCUCCUAGUAGGAGUCCUACUCCUACUAGGAGGAGGACUCCUCCUUGGCGCGCCAUAGAGGCUGGACGGCCUCAUCCCCUUGAUCCUUUAUAUACGGGGGCAGGGGCACCCCUUGACACACAAGUUGAUCCACGUGAUCAUAUUCUUAGCCGUGUGCGGUGCCCCCUUCCACCAUAGUCCUCGAUAAUAUUGUAGCGGUGAUUAGGCGAAGCCCUGCGACUGUAGUACAUCAAGAUCGUCACCACGCCGUCGUGCUGACGGAACUCUUCUCCGACACUUUGCUGGAUCGGAGUCCGGGGAUCGUCAUCGAGCUGAACGUGUGCUAGAACUCGGAGGUGCCGUAGUUUCGGUGCUUGAUCGGUCAGGCCGUGGAGACGUACGACUACAUCAACCAAACGCUUCCGUUGUCGAUCUACAAGGGUACGUAGAUCACACUCUCCCCUUCUCGUUGCUAUGCAUCACCAUGAUCUUGCGUGUGCGUAGGAAUUUUUUUGAAAUUACUACGUUCCCCAAUAGUGGCAUCCGAGCCUAGGUUUUAUAUGUUGAUGGUAUAUGCACGAGUAGAACACAAGUGAGUUGUGGGCGAUAUAAGUCAUACUGCUUACCAGCAUGUUAUACUUUGGUUCGGCGGUAUUGUUGGACGAAGCGGCCCGGACCGACAUUACGCGUACACUUACGCGAGACCGGUUCUCCCGACGUGCUUUGCACAUAGGUGGCUUGCGGGUGACAGUUUCUCCAACUUUAGUUGAACCGAGUGUGGCUACGCCCGGUUCUUGCCUGUGUUACAAGGUGUGAAGUUGAGUAAGACUCAAUGCCCGACCACUGCAGAAGAUAGAGAGAAAAUGAAAGAUGUUCCCUAUGUUGGGGAACGUAGCAUAAAUUCAAAAUUUUCCUAAGUCUCACCAAGAUCUAUCUAUGGAGUCAUCUAGCAACGAGGGAGGAGUGGAUCUACAUACCCUUGUAGAUCGCGCGCGGAAGCGUUCAAGAGAACGGGGUUGAUGGAGUCGUACUUGUCGUGAUCCAAAUCACCGAUGAUCCUAGCGCCGAACGGACGGCACCUCCGCGUUCAACACACGUACGGAGCAGCGACGUCUCCUCCUUCUUGAUCCAGCAAGGGGGAAGGAGAGGUUGAUGGAAGAUGGCUCCAGCAACAGCUGCAGUACUCCGGCAGGGCUUUGCCAAGCACUAUGGAGGAGGAGGAUGUGUUGGAGAGGGAGAGGGAGGCACCAAAGGCGUGUACUCAGAGGCCCUCCUUUCCCCACUAUAUAUAGGGAGUCCAAGGGGGGUGCCGUCCCUAGGACAUCCAAUCUCCUAGGGGGGGUGCGGCCAAGGGAGGAAUCCCUCCUCCCCAAGGCACCUAGGAGGUGCCUUCCCCCUUUGGGACUCUUCCCUUCCUUGAACCCUAGGCGCAUGAGCCUCUUGGGGUUGGUGCCCUUGGCCCAUAUAGGCCAAGGCGCACCCCCUACAGCCCAUGUGGCCCCCUGGGGCAGGUGGCCCCACCCGGUGGACCCCUGGGACCCUUCCGGUGGUCCCGGUACAAUACCGGUGACCCCGAAACUUGUCCCGAUGGCCGAAAUAGCACUUCCUAUAUAUAAUUCUUUACCUCCGGACCAUUCCGGAACUCCUCGUGACGUCCGGGAUCUCAUCCGGGACUCCGAACAACAUUCGGGUUACUGCAUAUACAUAUCCCUACAACCCUAGCGUCACCGAACCUUAAGUGUGUAGACCCUACGGGUUCGGGAGACAUGUAGACAUGACCGAGAUCGCUCUCCGGUCAAUAACCAACAGCGGGAUCUGGAUACCCAUGUUGGCUCCCACAUGUUCCACGAUGAUCUCAUCAGAUGAACCACGAUGUCAAGGACUUAAUCAAUCCCGUAUACAAUUCCCUUUGUCUAUCGGUACGAUACUUGCCCGAGAUUCGAUCGUCGGUAUCCCGAUACCUUGUUCAAUCUCAUUACCGGCAAGUCUCUUUAAUCGUUUCGUAACACAUCAUCCCGUGAUCAACUCCUUGAUCACAUUGUGCACAUUAUGAUGAUGUCCUACCGAGUGGGCCCAGAGAUACCUCUCCGUUUACACGGAGUGACAAAUCCCAGUCUCGAUUCGUGCCAACCCAAUAGACACUUUCGGAGAUACCUGUAGUGUACCUUUAUAGCCACCCAGUUACGUUGUGACGUUUGGCACACCCAAAGCACUCCUACGGUAUCUGGAAGUUGCACAAUCUCAUGGUCUAAGGAAAUGAUACUUGACAUUAGAAAAGCUUUAGCAUACGAACUACAUGAUCUUUGUGCUAGGCUCAGGAUUGGGUCUUGUCCAUCACAUCAUUCUCCUAAUGAUGUGAUCCCGUUAUCAACGACAUCCAAUGUCCAUGGUCAGGAAACCGUGACCAUCUAUUGAUCAACGAACUAGUCAACUAGAGGCUUACUAGGGACAUGGUGUUGUCUAUGUAUCCACACAUGUAUCUGAGUUUCCUAUCAAUAAAAUUCUAGCAUGGAUAAUAAACGAUUAUCAUGAACAAGGAAAUAUAAUAAUAAUCAAUUUAUUAUUGCCUCUAGGGCAUAUUUCCAACAGUCUCCCACUUGCACUAGAGUCAAUAAUCCAGUUCACAUCGCUAUGUGACUAACACUCAAGGUCACAUCCCCAUGUGACUAACACCCAAAGAGUUUACUAGAGUCAAUAAUCUAGUUCACAUUACCAUGUGAUUAACACUCGAUGAGUUCUGGGUUUGAUCAUGUUAUGCUUGUGAGAGAUGUUAUAGUCAACGAGUCUGAAUCUUUCAGAUCCGUAUGUACUUCGCAAAUUUCUAUGUCAUCUUGUAGAUGCAACUACUACACUACAUUUGGAGCUAUUCCAAAUAACUGUUCUACUAUACAAAUCCAGUUUACUACUCAGAAUAAUCUGGAUUAGUGUCAAAGUUUGCAUCGGCGUAACCCUUUACGACGAACUCUUUUACCACCUCCAUAAUCGAGAAAAUUCCUUAGUCCACUAGUUACUAAGGAUAACUUUGACCGAUGUCUUGUGAUCCAUUCUUGGAUCACUCUUGUACCCCUUGACUGACUCAUGGCAAGGCACAUUUCAGGUGCGGUACACAGUAUAGCAUACUGUAGGGCCUAUGUCUUAAGCAUAGGGGACGACCUUCGUCCUUUCUCUCUAUUCUGCCGUGGUCGAGCUUUAAGUCUUAACUUCAUACCUUACAACUCAGGCAAGAACUCCUUUGAUCCAUCUUGAACACCUUCAAGGUCAUGUCAAGGUAUGUGCUCAUUUGAAAGUACCAUUAAGCAUUUUGAUCUAUCCUUAUAGAUCUUGAUGCUCAAUGUUCAAGUAGCUUAAUCCAGGCUUUCCAUUGAAAAACACUUUCCAAAUAACCCUAUAUGCUUUCCAGAAAUUCUACGUCAUUUCUGAUCAACAAUAUGUCAACAUAUAUUUAUCAGAAAUUCUAUAGUGCUCCCACUCACUUCUUUGGAAAUACAAGUUUCUCAUAAACUUUGUAUACACCCAAAACUUUGAUCAUCUUAUCAAAGCAUACAUUCCAACUCCGAGAUGCUUACUCUAGUCCUUAGAAGGAUUGCUGGAGCUUUGCAUACUUAUUAGCAUCUUUCAGGAUUAACAAAACCUUCCGGUUGUAUCACAUACAACCUUUCCUCAAAAAUCGUCGAGGAAACAAUGUUUUGACAUCCUAUCUGCAAGAUUUCAUAAAUAAUGCAGUAAUCACUAAUAUAAUUCCAACAGACUCUUAGCAUCGCUACGAGUGAGAAAGUCUCAUCGCAGUCAACUCCUUGAACUUGUCGGAAAACAUCUUAACGACAAGUCGAGCUUUCUUAAUGGUGAUACCUACCAUCAUUGUCCGUCUUCCUUUUAAAAUCCAUCUGUACUCAAUAGCAUUACGACCAUGGAGCCGUUCUGCCAAAGUCUACACUAUGUUUUCAUACAUGGAUCCUCUCUCGGAUUUUAUGGCCUCGAGCCAUUUAUCGGAAUCCGGGCCCACCAUCGCUUCUCCAUAGCUUGUAGGUUCAUUGUUGUCUAGCAACAUGACUUCCAAGAUAGGAUCACAUACCACUCUGAAGUAGUAUGCAUCCUUGUCAUCCCACGAGGUUUGGUAGUGACUUGAUCUGAAGUUUCAUGAUCACUAUCAUAAGCUUCCACUUCAAUUGGUGUAGCUGCCACAGGAACAACUUCCUGUGCCCUGCCACACACUAGUUGAAGAGACGGUUCAAUAACCUCAUCAAGUAUCCACCAUCCUCCCACUCAAUUCUUUCGAGAGAAACUUUUCCUCGAGAGAGGACCCGAUUCUAGAAACAAUCCCUUAUUGCUUUCGGUUCUGAGACAGGAGGUAUACCCAACUGUUUUGGGUGUCCUAUGAAGAUGCAUUUAUCCGCUUUGGGUUCGAGCUUAUCAGCCUGAAACUUUUUCGCAUAAGCGUCGCAGCCCCAAACUUUUAAGAAAUGACAGCUUAGGUUUCUCUAAACCAUAGUUCAUACGGUGUCAUCUCAUCGGAAUUACGUGGUGCCCUAUUUAAAGUGAAUGUGGUUGUCUCUAAUGCCUAACCCAUAAACUAUCAUGGUAAUUCGAUAAGAGACAUCAUGGUAUGCAUCAUAUCCAAUAGGGUGCAGUUAUGAUGUUCGGACACACCAUCACACUAUGGUGUUCCAGGCUGUAUUAGUUGUGAAACAAUUUCCACAAUGUCUUAAUUCUAUGCCAAACUCGUAAUUCAGAUAUUCAUCUCUAUGAUCAUAUCAUAGAUAUUUUAUCCUCUUGUCACGACGAUCUUUCAACUUCACCCUGAAAUUACUUGAACCUUUCAAUAAUUCAGACUCGUGAUUCAUCAAGUAAAUGUACUCAACAUCUACUCAAAUCAUCUGUGAAGUAAGAACAUAACGAUAUCCACUACACGCCUCAGCACUCAUUGGACUGCACACAUCAAAAUGUAUUACUUCCAACAAGUUGCUUUCUAGUUCCAUUUUACUAAAAACGAGGCUUUCAGUCAUCUUGCCCAUGUGGUAUGAUUUGCAUGUCUCAAGUGAUUCAAAAUCAAGUGAGUCCAAACGGUCCAUUUGCAUGGAGUUUCUUCAUGCAUAUACACCAAUAGACAUGGUUCGCAUGUCUCAAACCUUUCAAAACAAGUGAGCCCAAAGAUCCAUCAACAUGGAGCUUCUUCAUGCGUUUUAUACCGAUAUGACUUACAUGGCAGUGCCACAAGUAGGUGGUACUAUCAUUACUAUCUUUUGGCAUGAACAUGUGUAUCACUACGAUCGAGAUUCAAUAAACCAUUCAUUUCAGGUGUAAGACCAUUGAAGGUAUUAUUCAAAUAAACAGAGUAACCAUUAUUCUCUUUAAAUGAAUAACCGUAUUGCGAUAGACAUAAUCCAAUCAUGUCUAUGCUCAACGCAAACACCAAUCUCGAUGGUAGAGGGAGCGUGCGAUGCUUGAUCAUAUCAACAUUGGAAACACUUCCAACACAUAUCGUCAGCUCACCUUUAGCUAGUCUCCGUUUAUUCCGUAGCUUUUAUUUCGAGUUACUAACACUUAGCAACCGAACCGGUAUCUAAUACCCUGGUGCUACUAGGAGUACUAGUAAAGUACACAUCAACACAAUGUAUAUCCAAUAUACUUCUAUCGACCUUGCCAGCCUUCUCAUCUACCAAGUAUCUAGGGUAAUUCUGCUCCAGUGGUUGUUCCCCUUAUUACAGAAGCACUUAGUCUCGGGUUUGGGUUCAACCUUGGGUUUCUUCACUAGAGCAGCAGCUGAAUUGCCGUUUCAUGAAGUAUCCCUUCGUGCCCUUGCCCUUCUUGAAACUAGUGGUUUCACCAACCAUCAACAAUUGAUGCUUCUUCUUGAUUUCUACUUUUGUGGUGUCAAACAUCGCGAAUAUCUCAAGGAUCAUCAUAUAUGUCCCUGAUAUAUUAUAGUUCAUCACGAAGCUCUAGCAGCUUGGUGGUAAUGACUUCGGAGAAACAUCACUUUCUCAUCUGGAAGAUCAACUCCCACUCGAUUCAAGCGAUUGUUGUACUCAGACAAUCUGAGCACAAGUUCAACAAUUGAGCUUUUCUCCCUUAGUUUGCAGGCUAAGAAAAUCGUCGGAGGUCUUAUACCUCUUGACGUGGGCACGAGCCUGAAAUCCCAAUUUCAGCCCUCGAAACAUCUCAUAUGUUUCGCGGCAUUUUAACACGUCUUCGGUGCCUCAACUCUAAACCGUUUAACUGAACUAUCACAUAGUUAUCAAAAUGUGUAUGUCAGAUGUUCGCAACAUCCACAGACGACAUUCGAGGUUCAGCACACUGAGCGGUGCAUUAAGGACAUAAGCCUUUUACUGUCUGCAUAAUUGCUACUAUCAACUUUCAACUAAUUUUUCUCUAGGAACAUAUCCAAACAGUAGAACUGAAGCGCGAGCUACGACAUAAUUUGUGAAGACCUUUUGACUAUGUUCAGGAUAAUUAAGUUCAUCUUAUGAACUCCCACUCAGAUAGACAUCCCUCUAGUCAUCUAAGUGAUUACAUGAUCCGAGUCAACUAGGCCGUGUUCGAUCAUCACGUGAGACGGACUAGUCAUCAUCGGUGAACAUCCUCAUGUUGAUCGUAUCUACCAUACGACUCAUGCUCGACCUUUCGGUCUCUUGUGUUCCGAGGCCAUGUCUGUACAUGCUAGGCUCGUCAAGUCAACCUAAGUGUUUUGCGUGUGUAAAUCUGUCUUACACCCGUUGUAUGUGAACGUUAGAAUCUAACAUCCGAUCAUCACGUGGUGCUUCGAAACAACGAACUGUCGCAACGGUGCACAGUUAGGGGGAACACUUUCUUGAAAUUAUUAUGAGGGAUCAUCUUAUUUACAACCGUCAUUCUAAGUAAACAAGAUGCAUAAACAUGAUAAACAUCACAUGCAAUCAAAUAGUGACAUGAUAUGGCCAAUAUCAUAUUGCUCCUUUUGAUCUCCAUCUUCGGGGCUCCAUGAUCAUCGUCGUCACCGGCAUGACACCAUGAUCUCCAUCAUCAUGAUCUCCAUCAUCGUGUCUUCAUGAAGUUGUCUCGCCAACUAUUACUUCUACUUCUAUGGCUACCGGUUAGCAAUAAAGUAAAGUAAUUACAUGGCGUUGUUCAAUGACACGCAGGUCAUACAAUAAAUAAAGACAACUCCUAUGGCUCCUGCCGGUUGUCAUACUCAUCGACAUGCAAGUCGUGAUUCCUAUUACAAGAACAUGAUCAAUCUCAUACAUCACAUAUAUCAUUCAUCACAUCCUUUGGCCAUAUCACAUCACAUAGCAUACCCUGCAAAAACAAGUUAGACGUCCUCUAAUUGUUGUUUGCAUGUUUUACAUGGCUGCUAUGGGUUUCUAGCAAGAACGUUUCUUACCUACGCAAAGACCACAACGUGAUAUGCCAAUUGCUAUUUACCCUUCAUAAGGAUCCUUUUCAUCGAAUCCGAUCCGACUAAAGUGGGAGAGACAGACACCCGCCAGCCACCUUAUGCAACUAGUGCAUGUCAGUCGGUGGAACCGGUCUCAUGUAAGCGUACGUGUAAGGUUGGUCUGGGAGGCUUCAUCCCACAAUGCCGCCGAAUCAAGAUUGGACUAGUAACGGUAAGCAUAUUGAACAAAAUCAACGCCCACAACUACUUUGUGUUCUACUCGUGCAUAAAAACUACGAAUAGACCUAGCUCAUGAUGCCACUGUUGGGGAACGUAGCAUAAAUUCAAAAUUUUCCUACGUGUCACCAAAAUCUAUCUAUGGAGUCAUCUAGCAACGAGGGAGGAGUGGAUCUACAUACCCUUGUAGAUCGCGCGUGGAAGCGUUCAAGAGAACGGGGUUGAUGGAGUCAUACUCGUCGUGAUCCAAAUCACCGAUGAUCCUAACGCCAAACGGACGGCACCUCCGCGUUCAACACAUGUACGGAGCAGAGACGUCUCCUCCUUCUUGAUCCAGCAAGGGGGAAGGAGAGGUUGAUGGAAGAUGGCUCCAGCAGCAGCACGACGGCGUGGUGGUGAUGGAGCUGCAGUACUCCAGCAGGGCUUCGCCAAGCACUAUGGAGGAGGAGGAUGUGUUGGAGAGGGAGAGGGAGGCACCAAAGGCGUGUACUCAGAGGCCCUCCUUUCCCCACUAUAUAUAGGGAGUCCAAGGGGGGGCGGCCCUAGGAGAUCCAAUCUCCUAGGGGGGGUGCGGUCAAGGGAGGAAUCCCUCCUCCCCAAGGCACCUAGGAGGUGCCUUUCCCCCUUUGGGACUCUUCCCUUCCUUGAACCCUAGGCGCAUGAGCCUCUUGGGGUUGGUGCCCUUGGCCCAUAUAGGCCAAGGAGCACCCCCUACAGCCCAUGUGGCCCCCCGGGGCAGGUGGCCCCACCCGGUGGACCCCCGGGACCCUUCCGGUGGUCCCGGUACAAUACCGGUGACCCCGAAACUUGUCCCGAUGGCCGAAAUAGCACUUCCUAUAUAUAAUUCUUUACCUCCGGACCAUUCCGGAACUCCUCGUGACGUCCGGGAUCUCAUCCGGGACUCCGAACAACAUUCUGGUUACUGCAUAUACAUAUUCCUACAACCCUAGCGUCACCGAACCUUAAGUGUGUAGACCCUACGGGUUCGGGAGACAUGUAGACAUGACCGAGAUCGCUCUCCGGUCAAUAACCAACAGUGGGAUCUGGAUACCCAUGUUGGCUCCCACAUGUUCCACGAUGAUCUCAUCGGAUGAACCACGAUGUCAAGGACUUAAUCAAUCCCGUAUACAAUUCCCUUUGUCUAUCGGUACGAUACUUGCCCGAGAUUCGAUCGUCGGUAUCCCGAUACCUUGUUCAAUCUCGUUACCGGAAAGUCUCUUUACUCGUUUCGUAACACAUCAUCCCGUGAUCAACUCCUUGAUCACAUUGUGCACAUUACGAUGAUGUCCUACCGAGUGGGCCCAGAGAUACCUCUCCGUUUACACGGAGUGACAAAUCCCAGUCUUGAUUCGUGCCAACCCAACAGACACUUUCGGAGAUACCUGUAGUGUACCUUUAUAGCCACCCAGUUACGUUGUGACAUUUGGCACACCCAAAGCACUCCUACGGUAUCCGGGAGUUGCACAAUCUCAUGGUCUAAGGAAAUGAUACUUGACAUUAGAAAAGCUUUAGCAUACGAACUACAUGAUCUUUGUGCUAGGCUUAGGAUUGGGUCUUGUCCAUCACAUCAUUCUCCUAAUGAUGUGAUCCCGUUAUCAACGACAUCCAAUGUCCAUGGUCAGGAAACCGUGACCAUCUAUUGAUCAACGAGCUAGUCAACUAGAGGCUUACUAGGGACAUGGUGUUGUCUAUGUAUCCACACAUGUAUCUGAGUUUCCUAUCAAUACAAUUCUAGCAUGGAUAAUAAACGAUUAUCAUGAACAAGGAAAUAUAAUAAUAAUCAAUUUAUUAUUGCCUCUAGGGCAUAUUUGCAACACCCUAUGCUUCAGCCAUAGGCUCUAUCAUGUAUGCAAUGCUGUGUACCAGACCUAAUGUGUGCCUUGCUAUAAGUCUAGCAGGAAGGUACCAAAGUGAUCCAGGAGUGGAUCACUGGACAGCGGUCAAGAACAUCCUGAAAUACAUGAAAAGGACUAAGGAUAUGUUUCUGACUUAUGGAGGUGACAAAUAGCUCAUCGUAAAAGGUUACGUUGAUGCAAGCUUUGACACUGAUCCGGACGAUUCUAAAUCGCAAACCGGAUACGUGUUUACAUUAAACGGUGGAGCUGUCAGUUGGUGCAGUUCUAAACAAAGCAUUGUGGCGGGAUCUACAUGUGAAGCGGAGUACAUAGCUGCUUCGGAAGCAGCAAAUGAAGGAGUCUGGAUGAAGGACUUCAUAUCCGAUCUAGGUGUUAUACCUAAUGCAUCGGGUCCAAUGAAAAUCUUUUGUGACAAUACUGGUGCAAUUGCCUUGGCAAAGGAAUCCAGAUUUCACAAGAGAACCAAGCACAUCAAGAGACGCUUCAAUUCCAUCCGGGAUCUAGUCCAGGUGGGAGACAUAGAGAUUUGCAAGAUACAUACGGAUCUGAAUGUUGCAGACCCGUUGACUAAGCCUCUUCCACGAGCAAAACAUGAUCAGCACCAAGGCUCCAUGGGUGUUAGAAUCAUUACUGUGUAAUCUAGAUUAUUGACUCUAGUGCAAGUGGGAGACUGGAGGAAAUAUGCCCUAGAGGCAAUAAUAAAGUUAUUAUUUAUUUCCUUAUAUCAUGAUAAAUGUUUAUUAUUCAUGCUAGAAUUGUAUUAACCGGAAACAUAAUACAUGUGUGAAUACAUAGACAAACAGAGUGUCACUAGUAUGCCUCUACUUGACUAGCUCGUUAAUCAAAGAUGGUUAUGUUUCCUAACCAUGAACAAAGAGUUGUUAUUUGAUUAACGGGAUCACAUCAUUAGGUGAAUGAUCUGAUUGACAUGACCCAUUCCAUUAGCUUAGCACCCGAUCGUUUAGUAUGUUGCUAUUGCUUUCUUCAUGACUUAUACAUGUUCCUAUGACUAUGAGAUUAUGCAACUGCCAUUUGCCGGAGAAACACUUUGUGUGCUACCAAACGUCACAACGUAAAUGGGUGAUUAUAAAGGUACUCUACAGGUGUCUCCAAAGGUACAUGUUGGGUUGGCGUAUUUCGAGAUUAGGAUUUGUCACUCCGAUUGUCGGAGAGGUAUCUCUGGGCCCUCUCGGUAAUGCACACCACAUAAGCCUUGCAAGCAUUGCAACUAAUGAGUUAGUUGCGAGAUGAUGUAUUACGGAACGAGUAAAGAGACUUGCCGAUAACGAGAUUGAACUAGGUAUUGAGAUACCGACGAUCAAAUCUCGGGCAAGUAACAUACCGAUGACAAAGGGAACAACAUAUGUUGUUAUGCGGUCUGACCGAUAAAGAUCUUCGUAGAAUAUGUAGGAGCCAAUAUGAGCAUCCAGGUUCCUCUAUUGGUUAUUGACCGGAGACGUGUCUCGGUCAUGUCUACAUUGUUCUCGAACCCGUAGGGUCCGCACGCUUAAGGUUUCAAUGACAGUUAUAUUAUGAGUUUAUGAGUUUUGAUGUACCGAAGUUAGUUCGGAGUCCCGGAUGUGAUCACGGACAUGACGAGGAGUCUCGAAAUGGUCGAGACAUAAAGAUUGAUAUAUUGGACGGCUAUAUUCGGACACCGGAAGUGUUCCGGAUGAUUUCGGAGAAAACCGGAGAGCCGGAGGGUUACCGGAACCCCCCCCCCCCGGGGGAGAAGUAAUGGGCCAUAUGGGCCUUAGUGGAGAGAGAGAGGGGCAGCCAAAGGUGGGCCGCGCGCCUCCUCCCCUCCUGGUCUGAAUUGGACUAGGAGAGGGGGGCGACGCCCCCCUUUCCUUCUUCCUCCCCACUUCUUUCCCCCUCCUAGUAGGAGUCCUACUCCUACUAGGAGGAGGACUCCUCCUUGGCACGCCAUAGAGGCCGGCCGACCUCCUCCCCUUGAUCCUUUAUAUACGGGGGCAGGGGGCACCCCUUAACACACAAGUUGAUCCACGUGAUCAUAUUCUUAGCCGUGUGCGGUGCCCCCUUCCACCAUAGUCCUCGAUAAUAUUGUAGCGGUGCUUAGGCGAAGCCCUGCGACGGUAGUACAUCAAGAUCGUCACCACGUCGUCGUGCUGACGGAACUCUUCCCCGACACUUUGCUGGAUCGGAGUCCGGGGAUCGUCAUCGAGCUGAACGUGUGCUAGAACUCGGAGGUGCCGUAGUUUCGGUGCUUGAUCGGUCGGGCCGUGGAGACGUACGACUACAUCAACCAAACGCUUCCGUUGUCGAUCUACAAGGGUACGUAGAUCACACUCUCCCCUUCUCGUUGCUAUGCAUCACCAUGAUCUUGCGUGUGCGUGGUAAAUUUUUUGAAAUUACUAUGUUCCCCAACACUGGCCUCAUAGGAAUGAGCCCCUCGUAUCAUGCACUACAACUCAAGUUACGGUAUGCAUGGAUGAGAAUACAGUGAAACCACUUCCCCUCGAUAACCCCCUAUCAAUAUUCAAAAUGCGGUCGUGGGCGUAUUGCCCAAGCCGUUUGCCCCAUUUGAAGUCGGUGGGCAACUUGUUUGGUGUUGAUCAGGCCCGAUGAAGUUGUUCCCUCCGUGUGGCCAUGUGGGUGGUCUGAUCGGCUGCCAUGUGGCAUACCCUAUAGGGGGGCAGCGAAUUAUGGAUGGUGAUGUGAUACGAAUCUUUGUGUUGCAUCCCUCAUCGCCUUGAUUCACACCGCACCUUUAUCUCUUAUUGGUUUGGCUUUCGAGGAUGCAUGGUGUGUAGGAUUUAUAUUUUAAUUCCCCAUUCCUUGUUGGGUUACCUUGCUUCCUUCAUACUUUGUCCCCAAUUCCUUGAGCCAUCCUCCUCAUUUCCCUCUCCAUACUUUGACAUGACCUCCCAGAGCACUGCCCCCGACUUUGCUGUAAUUGAGAGCCCUUAGCACGUAGCUGCCAACUAUUGUGCUACAUUGCAAGUGCACUUUUGAUCAUAUUGGUGUCCUUGCUUGCGUCGGGAGAGGCCAACACUGUCCUUACUUGCGGUUGGUCAUCGUCUUUGGUUCUCAUGGAACUAUUCAUUAUGUUCGAUGAGGGGAUGUUGUUUCGAGGGGUGGCCUUCUCAAUGGGUGGUCUCCUCACGCCUGAAGGUGCUACAACGGUGAUCCUCCUCGAUGACAUGCUAUGCGUUGUGAAUUUUUCAUUGUCCCUCCUUCUUUCAGUGUUGCAUUUUGUAGAAUCAUGUCUUACCAUCUAACCCCAAAUUCGGUGGUCUUUCUUUCUCCCUUUGUACACUCGUGUGAGGGUUUUCUUGGGAUACUUCUGGAUCUGGAAUUAUGUCAUCAUCUUUUUUGUGCUUUAUCAAGGUGAACACCAACAUGUAAGAACAAGGACAUCAUCGAGGUGAAAACAUGUAAUUCUUGGAGCCAUAAUGGCACAAAACCAACGGCGCGAUGGUCAUCGUGUCCGAUGGGACGACUGCUCCAGGUUAGAUGAUUGGACUAUGCAUGUGGUUGAUCACGAGUUCAUCAGGGAGAUGGAAGUUUUCAUCAUAGACCUACGAACUGGUAGAUGAAUGAUGUCCAUGUCACUGGUGAAUUCAUCUGUCGAUAGAUUGCCCCCCUCACGGAGGUUGUCAGUCCUCCAUCCCUGGCGAGGUUGUGGGCUAUCAAGUUCUACCUACAGGAUGCAAUUAAGGCCAUGCAGGUUUGCCUUACUCAUCAUUUACCUUCUUGGCUUUUCUGGAUUCUGCUUUACUUUGGAUGAGUAGAUUUAUGGUCCAUACAGGGUGUUGCUGACCCUCACAAUGAGGGGUUGAACACCUCUGCCUUGGAGCAACCCAAGCAUAUUUAGCGGGUGAAUCUCUGCGUGCAUGGCUUGUGCCCAACGGAGGAGCGUGCCAAGUUUGCACGUCUUGAGGUGGACACGAUGGUCAAAAAGUCGAAAGAGCUCGCGUGCCAUGAGUGAGGCAUUAGGAGAUGGCGGAGUCAGUCUGCAAUGACCUCCAAGCAUCUGUGGAAAAAUAUGGGGAGGAGGCUGAGUGGCUUCGCGAUAAGUUAUGCAAGGUCAAAGGAGUUGAUCCAUGAGGAACAAACCUUGAACUUGCAAGUCCUUGUCAACCUUGGAUGCAUGUUAUCAAUUAUUAGGGUUCCCUUCCCAUCAAUAAUCAUGUUAUUGGGUGAGUUGUGGUUAGGGAUGAAAUAAAUUUGAACCCAGAGCUAGCUAGCUCUCCCCAAAAUGCGUUGAGGCGCAUCAUUUGACUGGACAUCUAGGGAUAAAGCAUUGUUUCUAUGCGUGUUGCAUGAGCGGUACCUAAGUGAGUUGUACCAACUCAUAAUACUAGAUAUGACCCAAAACUAAUAGGGGUUAAGAUCGUUCGGUGAGACGAUUGGGGUUAAGCCCCGAUCAUUAGCUAAGUUUGAGCAUGCAACUAAGGAGAUAUCGGAUAUUCCCAACUGGGUUAUUCAUCUGGUGAAGUGUCUGCCACCAUUUUAUAUUGCUUUCGCCACAACUCUGAUGAUGAUGUUGGAUAAGAAUGUUGCUCCAGAUGCCAUCUCCACAUAGAUGCUAGCUUCUUCCCCUACGAGGACAUAAAGGAGUAAGAUAGUGGCAUGAUGGGAGAAAGAUGCCACGGUCUUCGUUAAGGUCCAGGGUUUUAGUGCCAUAACUCGGGCCUCUUUGGAGUCUUUGAGGCCGUUGUAUUGAUCCUUUCGUAGUGUGUGCUUUGUCAUUUCCUUUUUUGUUGUAUGAAACAUAAACAUGUUAGUUCUAAAAUCAUUUGCUUGCUGUGUUGGAGUGGCUUUGGAUGUGUCCUACUAGGAUCUUUGGUUUUCAUGUUGGUAAGUUUGAUGUGCAACAUGUAAAUAUGUUGGUGAAAAAACGUUUGAUACUUGUGCUGGAGCAAGUUUAGUCUUUUCCCACUAGGAACAAUUGGUCUUUUUGCGAUGUAGCCUUUGGAUUGUUAUUCAAAACUUUUCAUUGUUAUGUUGAGAGUUUUGCUCGCAUGCAUAGAAUUGGUUAGUCAUUCUCAGAAUCUAUUGUGUUAUAUAGUGGGACCACAAAAUGUGUGUUUAAUGGCACAAUCGAGCCUCCCGAGCUCCAUUUCGACCCUCGCUAGAUCCUCGAGUGAGGCGCCCGAAGUCCCAUAACUUGUUGAAUUAAGAUCCCACCAUUCAAGUGGGGACCAUUACUUCCCUAUGUCCCUUUGUACUUGCGACAUCGAAGACCAUUGCAAACCCAGCAUCAUUCUGAACCAAGCUAGAUACUAGGGUGGGGCGUGCAAGCUCUCGAGCACUUUCGGAAGGCACCGAGGUAUGUAUGUGUCAUGAUCGACUAAUUGUAAGCCUAGCUAAGUGAGUAGUGAACGUGCUCGAUUCAUUUCAUGUAUACUAGUCCCAAAUUGCAUGUAUGAGCUUGGCAGGAAACUUGUGUGUGCAGUCAAUAUAGAGAAAAACCAUGAAUAAUAUAGAGAAAACCAUGAAUAUCAUAUGACUAAUAUAAACUAACAUUAUAAAAGUAAUGAAUGCAUAUAAAAAUGUAAUUGUAAUAGUUGGGUGAAGCCCUGGGUCAUCGUGCUAGUAAUCGUAGAGUGUGUGACAGACCAUGACUGAGUUACCUCUUCGAAAUCUUACGUCUUCUUUUGCAUAGUGGGUUCGAUGGUGGAGGCUAGGGGUAGUGCCAUGGUACUCCUUAGCUUCAUCCUCCAUGUAUACAAUGGCAUCAAUCUCCUUCUGUGUCGAGGGGUCCUGGUGCAUACAUGGUGGGUUGACUAGACACCUCCCGCAUUCCCUUGCAUUGCUUGGCGUGUUGGUUGCCAACUUGUAGCUCUAGCAAUCGAAUUUGUUGUCCAAACAACCAUAAGUGGUUGUUUAGUCUUUUUCUAACUAACUUGAUGAUAUUUAGAACUGAUUCUCGUAAAACCCCAAAACCAAGUUUUUGGAAAACAACUAUUACAUAUAUUUGAAUAAACGUGUUUAUGUUAUCCUCAACAACCUUGAUCCUACUUCUUAGGCCAAUCCAUUUUCCACAUCUGACAACCUACAUCAACAUAAAGUCAAACAUGGUUAUCUACAAAACUAGUUCAACUUUCUUUUAAUCGAAACAUGAUUUUUUUUGUAAAUGUAUACCUGAUCAGAUUAUUAACAAAAAAAUCUUCUUAAAACAAGCUUUACUAAAACUGGUUGAUAUUAUACAAAGAACCAGCUAGAGUGCACUUUAAAAAUGUUAAAGGUUACGGAGACAAUGUGCAAACUCAAAUUCUUCCUUUACAUGUAGCAUUUAUAUUUCAUCUCUCCCAUUUCUUCUAUGUGUUUACAUGCUUCCAUAAUUUGAACAUCUAAUCCAUCCGUCCCAAAAUAACUGUCUUGGACUUGGUACAACUUUGUACUAAAGCUGUACUAAGUCUAAGACACUUAUUUUGGGAUGGAGGAGGUAUUUGGCUAAGAACAUGUGCUCUCCUGUAAGAACAACACACACUACUCCCACUAAUUGUUCAUUGGUGCCUCCAUGUUGUACAGAAGUUCUCGAAGUGAAGAGCUCGUUAUGUGGCUCCAUCGUCAGGUAUUAACCUAUUGACUUAUUGUUAAUUACUAUAACGAAGAAAUCACCAUUGGAAGAAACCACUAUUUCAAUAUCGUCAUGCGGCGAGUUAGAUUGCCUUCUCAUUAAUUACUAAUGUUCUCCUAACCCUUUUUCACAUGGCAGAAGCAUGGACUCUGUGUCUCUCCCUCUCGCUUCAUGGUCUCAAAUCCCCGAUGACAUAACUUGGAACAUCCUCGUGCUGGUUUCACCACAUCCUGUCACCAUUGCAAGGAUAGCAGCCAUGUGCAGGGCGUGGCGCUCCAUUGUCAAGACUAGCAAGUUCCUGAGGACGCUGAUGGAGCAUCACGGAAUAACACCACUCAUGGGUUUUUUCACCAACCUCUCUAGCUCAGAUCGUUUCCUCCCUUUUGAUCAACAUCUAGGUGUUGUCGGUGUCCCUCGAUUCACCCUGCCCAUCUUGUAUCCAGACAACCGCCUCCCCACUCUCUCCACGAGCCACUGGGAGGUUCUUGCUUGCCGCCAUGGUAAGGUUUUGCUGCUUGCAGGGGCCAUACAUAUGCUCUUAGUGUGGGAUCCAAUCACUGGCGAGCAGACAUUAACACGCCCCCACACCGAACUGACCUACGUCCACGGCACAGUGGUAUGUGUCGCCCACCACCACCAUGGAAAUUGUCACUCUUCACCGUGGGUUGUUGUCUGGAUUGUGAACACCGGCCGCGAAAUUAGGGUAAGAAGGUGGUCGUCAGUAACCCAGGCUUGGAAUAUCCCGGAAGCUCAUGUUUGGUUCAACGGCCUGGUUGAUUUCCGCCCAAGCACGUUGAUCGGUGAUGUUUUGUAUUGGAAUUUGACUAAUAACUUCCUCAUUGCCUUCGACAUGGCUGAGAAUCUGCUCCACCCUAUCGAGUUGCCCGAAGCAAUGCCAUCUCUUAAAUUCUGACGCCACAUCCACGUUGUGCCAUUAGACGAUGAUGUUCUUGGCUUGGCAGUUCUGAACACUUCAGUGCUCGAGAUUUGGUCCAGGGUUGGAGGCAUCGGUGAAGGAUCUUCCUGGGCCAUGAACUAUACCAUCCCUUUGCUUUCCAUCAUACCCAUCCAAGAUGAUCACAUCAUAAAUCAUCAUAGGCCACGAGGCCGAAUUGUGUGUGUCAUGGAGGACAGGAAAGUUAUCAUCAUUCGUGCUGUUGACGGGGUAUAUGAAGUUGAUUACCAAAGGAAGACAUCCACCAAGAUCAUGGGAGAAACACCAGGGGGGACUAUGUUUGCAUACGAGAGCUUCUACAUUGCAGGUUUACUCACAUCAUUAGAUAAUUUCCUUACUGGAGACUAUGGAUGUAAUAUUUCUUUUCGGCAUGAUUAAUAGAUUGCUAGUUUACAUUUUUUGGUGAUCCCCAUCGUGCAUCAGGUGUCGCUUGUGUCGACGAGCCAUGAAGAAACCAUCAUAUGAGGAAAGCGGGACCCCCACAUUACCCCGCCGCACACCUGCGCUCUAGUGGAAAUCCGGGAGGCCUCUCCUUUAUAAAAACAAAAAGAAAACAGUGUAUUGAUUACUUUCAUUUGUUCACCUUCUUUCAAUCAUGGUGUUCACAUCUGAUUUCAAUAUUCUGUUUUUAAGCCAUUUGAACCAUGUCAUCAAUGUACUCCGCUGUAUUAGACAUCAAUAAUGUAGGAGCGGAAUACUUCUAUAUGGAAAGCACGUGACUUACUUUUAUGUCGUGACGACAUAAUUUGUUUUGAAUAAGCAGCGUUGCUAUAUCAGCCCAACAGGCAUUGUUCGCUUGGUUGAUAAGGACUUUUAUUAGUGAAUUAUAGUCAUUUUACUAGGGAGAAACCAGUUUUGAAAACAAAUGGGAAAACAUUCUCCCGCAACGAUGCCUUUUGUUUUAGUGUACCACAAUUAGAAGUAUUGUACAUGUUCCUCCACAUAUGAGUAUGUUUAUCUUAUGUUAGUGAGGCUACACUAUCCCCUAGUAUAGUAACUCUUGAUUUUGACCCAUCUCCUAGUACAAUAACUCAAUUUCAAGUGAUAUGGCAUUCGGUUAUGACAGAACAAUUCUACUUGUCACACUUUUAGGGGAGGGCAUCUAUGCCGCCGCCCAUGCCUCACAGCACCGCACCAGAAUCAACAAAUGACACGCCAUUUGCUUUCUCAUAAAGCUAUACUAGUUAUUUAUACCUUUUGUUUUGUGGACAUAUCAAUUGAGUCUAAAGUAAAUCAUAAGAGAUAUCUUCCUAAUCUUAGAAACAAACAGACUAUCUAGAAUUAAUUACAACUUUAGAAAUGAACGACCGGGUGAUGUUUGAUUUGCUCUCUCACCAACGGGCUAUCGACCCUAACACACAUUCUCUGACAUGAAAACGUUUUUGUACCAACCCCCUUCCUGGUCUCAAAAGCUUGGUACGAAAUUCACAUCCGUAAACAGGUAUGACAAAAUAACAACCAUGAAAAAUCAUAAUAAAAUAAUUAUUGCACUCAUGUUCCACAUUGAAAGUGAUGCUAGAUGUACAAAAAUAAAAUAAAAACCAAACUAAAAUGUAAUACUACAGAAAACAAAGCUAUUCACUUCUUCCACAUUAAUAAAAGUCAUGCUCGGGGGUACACAUGCAUCCACAUUUUCUCGCCGCAUGUGAACCUAGAGUUGACCUCAAGUCAAGCUAAAACUAGCAGUCUUGUAUUCAUGUGUGGGAAUUUACCACGCAUGACACUACCUUAGUGAACCGAACACAUGCAUUUUUAUAUUCUUUUGUAACGCAUGGGUGCAACAUUAUUUCUAUGUAAAACGUGUCGGGAAGGACUGGAGGGGCGGCGAUGCUGAUGAACUUGUCGUCGCGGCCAAAGAGGACCGCGCUAGUGGUCGAUGAUGUGGCAAGAGCCACCACCAACGAGGCGGCUAUGGGGCACGACCAGGGUAUCCGUUGGGGUUGGGGUUGUGGUAGUGGAGGAAGCAGCCAGAUCGAGUCCUUCCUCACCGAGCGGCGUCGAGCGACCAGGUCGUCAAGCUUGGCGGUCUUGGGCCUGAUGGCGUUCGUGUUGUUGCGGAGGUCGACGAGGAAGCCAUCAAGCGUGGCUUUGAACCGCUCGAAGUACUCCUUGAUAGAUGGAUCCAUGGCUUCCAGAUGUAGACGAUCUUGACAAAGACGCUUGGUCUCCAUGAACUGCAGCAGAGCAAGGGAAGGAGUGGUGCCUGGCCUAUGAUACCAUAUGAUAAGAGGGGAUGUAUUUGGUGCACCGGGGCAAUUGGUGUUACCGGUGCACCGGUCGCCCAUUGCACAUUAAAAUAUGUUCGAAAAAAUUCAAAAAAAAUUAGUGCAUUGACACAACAUCAAUAUACGUUGUCACAAAAUUUUAAAUCAAAAUUCUAAACAUUGCUCAAGAUACAAAAAUGACAAAUUCGACACUGAAUAGUAUGUAACAUAAAUUGGGCUGCAGUUUUGGCCCAUUAGCAUAUUGACGUCAAAUUUGUUAUUUUUGUAUUUUGAGUAUUGUUUUGAAUUUUGAUUUUAAUUUUUGUGACAACAUACAUUGAUGUUGUGUAAAUGCACUAAAUUUUUUUGGAUUUUUUCAAACAUUUUUUAAUGUGUAACGGGGUGCGGUGCACCGGUACCACGAAUUGCCCCGGUGCACCAGAUACGUUCCCUAUGAUAAGAGCAUGUUAUGAUCUCUCUCUAUUAGUCACUUCACCAGAGGAAUUUGAUCUCUCUCGAUUAGUCACUUCACCGUAGGAAUUGUAGCAGCGGCGUAGCAAUUACAGGAGGAGUUACACCAAAAGGAAGAACAGGGAUGAACCAGGGAUUUUUUUCAAAACUAUCACUUUUUUUAUAGCUAAUUCGGAAACUAUAGUACCCAUUGCCAAAAUAUCAAAAAUAUGACCCUGUCGGCCUUGUUGUGGCCGAAGUGGUAGUUUUCGGCCGGAACUUGGCCGAAAAGGGUAUUUCGUCCAGCAGUAGGCCGAAAUGAGCCUCAGUUGGGCCGAAGAGGUGUCGUCGGGUGGGGGUGGGCCGAAAAUAGUAGCUUCGGCCAAGCCUAGACCGAAAUGGGCCGUUUUCGGCCAGCCCGCAGCCGAAAAGCUUUUCGGCCAGGCCUAGACCGAAAAGGUCUGGAUAAGGCCAAUCCGCGUCGUCACCUUCCUCCUCGUGCUCGCCUCUGUUCUUUCUCGUUCCUCUCGUUCUUCUCUGUAGAGCUCGCGUCUCCUCCCUGAUCUCCUCCAAUUUGCACUCAUUUUCACAACCAAGGCACAGAAUAGAUAGAUCAUAGCAUUCUCCACCGGCCUAUGGUGUUUUUUUGUUAUGGGAUAGUUUUUUGUGCGCUUGGGGGAGGAGCCAUGGUGGGGUGGAGGAGGUGCGGUUGGGAAGGAGGUGGUGGUGAGGAGGAGCAGCAGCUGUGGAGGAGGAGGUGGUGAGAAGGAGCAGCAGCUUGGGGGUGACCGGAGUUGAACCUCCGGUCGUCGAGUGGGCGGCGCUGCCGUUGUCCGGUGCCGCUGACCGGAAGAGACGCACGCUUCCAAGGUAUAACCAUGGCGUCACAAAUUUUCUCUAAAUUGCAUAGUUUAUUAGUUAGUGUUAAUAUGUUUGUGGUGGCAUUCUAGCGCGUAGUUAGUGUAGCGGGUAAUAUUAGUGUUCGUUGUGAUUAAUGAGAAGAUGACAAUGUCUGACAGGUGAAAAUGUCUGAAUCAGUAAAUUUGACUGUUUACUACGGAACUGGUAAUGUUCGAUAUAAUGAGUUGGGAGUUGAUCUUAGCGAGUUUAAAAUGACGUCAUGACACUAGCAGACCCGGACAGACUGGACAUUAGACAAUUGAAGUACUGGUUGACAACUAGUUUCGCGCUGGAUCCUGAAGUAUGUUCCGUCAGUAUUCAUGCAUUGUGGACCAAAUCUUGUAAAAAUGUCAAGUGGGAGUUGAUGCCGGUAGAUAGGAGCCAACAUUGGUUGUCCCUGUUAAGACGCUGCCGAGACCGAAGAAUCCACCCAUAUGCACUUGUGCAACCUGUGCCGAAGGAGGAGAAUGCCGUACAACUCCACAGGGGGUAUGAACACGGCCAAGGCAGUGAAGUGGCUAACGAGAUUGUUUUAUCCGGGUCACAGCCACAAGAUGUGGAUGCUAGCCAACCCGAGAAAGAGUCAGACUAUGUGCCACACAAUGUUUGUGGUCCUGAUACUGGGCAGAGUAGCCGGUCGAUAAUAUUAGCUGGUUGUAGUUUUGCUGAUGGGGAUGAGGAAGGGGAUGAAAUGCAGAGGAUGAUGGAGGAAGAGGACGAGGAUGGAUUGGUGGAGGAACUGGAUUCUGAAAAUUCUGAGGAUAAAGUGGAGGUACCGAUUCCUUCUGCAUGGGAGCAGGACAUAUCCACCGGCCUUACGGUCAACGAUGGCCAUGAGACUCCAUGCCAGUAUAAUCUGAACCAAGUACAGAUAGAGGCUAUGUUUGAUACAAAGAAAAAAUUAAAGUAUGCGGUGAUAAAGUGGGCUAUGUCUACUCAGAGGGUUUUUGGACACACAUAUCAAGUCCAACAGACUAUACCGUGAAAUGUGUUGAAGCAAGUUGUCCUGGGAAGGUGCACGGGCACGUGCCGAAGUAUGACAUCCACUGGGUUGUCACCAUUGUCGUCCCACAUAAUUGUGUGAGGAAGAACCUGCUGGUGAAGCAUCCGAACCUGACUUCAAGUCCCAUUGCGCAACUCAUGUAUACUGAGAUAGUAGAGAAGAAAGAUAUGGAAGCAAAACACAUCCAGACAGCAGCGAAGGUCAGAUGGAAUUAUGUCAUUCCUUAUGGGAAGGCUUGGAGGGCUAGCAGAAGGCUAUGGAGGAAAGGUUUGGGACGUUCUUCGACUCAUAUGAUAAUGUUGUCCGUCUCCUGGGCAUACUGAAGGAGACCACCUCCUUCACAGCCAGGGAGCUCUUCCUGGCAUGAGUCACCUCCUUCACAGCCAGGGAGCUCUUCCUGGCAUGAGCCACCUCCUUCACAGCUAGGGAGCACUUACUGGCAUCAGCAAAUGAAUCUAGGUAACACUACUCACUACAUUCUUUUGAACAGUGUAGUAAUUGUUCUUGCAUUCUAAGCAGUCACUGAUGCUUACUGGUGGUGCUUCGUUCAUGCAUUUGUAUCAAUUUUACAUGUUUUACUUUACCGCAGGCGGCAACCAGUCGCAACCGUUCAUGCAUUCAGAGCAGUCACCGAUCCUUAGUGGUGGUGCUUCGUACUUUAAGGGCAACCGCGAGGAUGAUGACCAAGCUACAAACAUUUAUGGCUUCUCGCAAACAGUAUUUCACACUCCACCACCACCACCGACGCAGGAGACACAGACUGACAGACGAGGUUAACUAUGGUCGUGGUUAUCGCGAGCCUCGUCCACCGCCUCGGCGCUUAUCGCCUUCCGGUCCUCGCCCGAGGAAGACCCAGACUCGUCGUCGUCCCCCGCAGUGAUAUGCUUAUCUAUCUAUCUAUGACUCAUUAUCUAUGUUAGUUUCAGACUAUUCGCAGCUGUGUGUCAGUAUUUAUGUAUAAGUCAUGCUUCAUGUAUGUGUUACUAUCGCACUUGCUUCUAUGUGAUCAGGAGACAUAUAUUGUUUUAUGUAUGCGAGAGACAUAUUACUAUUAAUUCGCAUUCUUAUUCCAGUUACAUUUCCAAAUAGACAACAACCGAUAAUUAAGAUACAAGUACAUCUGAAUUAAACGGUGCGGCUGAACUUGUGCAAUACAUCUUACAUACUACAAAAUGAAAUUCAGAUAGAACAUAAUGCCCUACAAUAAUACAAUACAAACUAAUAAUGCAAAUACAUCUGAAUGAAGCGGUACAACUGGAAUACAUCUUACAUACUACAUGAAGUCAUCAUCGUCAUCCUCCGUUGAUGCAACCCUCUUGCCCUUCGACGAUGCGGUCCUCUUGCCCUUCGUCGGUGCAAAACUCUUGCCCUUGGUCGAUGCAGAACUCUUGCCCUUCGAGGAUGCAGAACUCUUUCCUUUGGACGAUGCAGAACUCUUGCCCUUCGACGAUGCAGAACCCGGAAGCGGCGGCAUGAAGAUAUCAUCGUCGUCCUCGCUCUCCUCAGUCCAUAAAAAUGGAUGCUUUUCUGCAGUCCUUCUGAAAGUUUCACUCUUCGGCUCCACCACCUUCUUCCACCUUUCAUGCAACCUAAAAAGUUCUUUACGUACCUCCUCAUAGGUCCUUUCAGGCCACCCAGACCUACGUAAUUCAUGAGCCAACUCAUUCAUUAUGGUGUCACUACCGGUGAGUUCGUCCCAUCGAACUAUCCUAUUGUCCAUCCUGAAAUCGGUAGCUAGACUCAGCAGAGUGCUGCUCAUCUCAACGUGAAAACUACAAUUGAAUGGAUAAUGGGACAUCUCGACUACACUACACUGGAAUGCUUAUCCACCUCCGCCUGAAGGGGGUUUUAUAGAUACAAAGGAGAAAAUGGCGGGAAAGAAUAACUGCGGUAUGGCGAGAAAGGGUUGGCGGGAAAAUAAGGCGGGAAGGGAUUGGCGGGAAGGGGUUGGCGGGAAAAUAAGGCGGGAAGGGAUUGGCGGGAAGGGGUUGGCGGGAAACGGGUGGCGGAAACAUAUGGCGGGAAGGGGUUGGCAGGAAACGGGUGGCGAGAAAAUACACUUCAGUGUAUUGUAUGAGCCGUGCAACUUCGGCCUACAUGAGACCAAAAAGUACUUUUCGGCCUAGACUUGACCAAAAAGUCUAUUUCGGCCAAGACUUGACCAAAAAGUCCUACUUCGGCCUAUACGUGGCCGAAAAGUCCUACUUCGGCCAAGAGAUGGCCGAAAACUCCACUUCGGCCUAGCUGUGGCCGAAGUCCUACUUCGGCCCAGAAAUGGCCAACGGGCUACUACUUUUGAUUUUUAAGAAAAUCAUGCUAUAGUUUCCGAAAAUGCUAUAAAAUAUAUCAUAGUUUUGAAAAAAAAAAUCUGAACCAGGCACCUGUGUUGGCCUUGCAGCUGGCCACCAGGCACCUGUGUUGGCCCAAGGACAGGCCCCUGUAGGUGGGCUGGUUAGGCAAGGGCCCUAACACAAUAGCUGCUGCAGGUGAACAGGAAAUAGUACAGCAAGCACAAUUGGGAAACCAACAUUUGAAUAGUAUAAAUUUUGUAUAGAACACUUGAAGGUUCUUUUUAAGAACAUAAAUCAGAAGACGGCCAGUAAAACGAGUAGACAGAGUUAAUCCAUUUAGGCUCCCGCCUUGUCUGUAUUUUCGGGGCAUCUCAGUUCCCAAAUGACUUUUCUGCUCACAUUUGUUUUCCCACUACAUUUAUCGAUAUUGUCCACUUCAAAAUUUGUGAAUAGUACAAACAAAAGGUGGAAGUUAUUCACAGCUCGAGAAUAUACCACACCCACACUCUACAAUCUACAAACAAAAUCGACAUUCCCAUCAGGUAUGGAAAUAGUGGCGCUCGGUUUGGCUCGUUCUUCCUCUCCUUUUCUUCUUCCUUUUCGUGUGGUGCGCGCAAAGAUGUUA
rnacentral:lncRNA from 1 species